AUACAUGCAAGUCGAGCGAACAGAUAAGGAGCUUGCUCCUUUGACGUUAGCGGCGGACGGGUGAGUAACACGUGGGUAACCUACCUAUAAGACUGGGAUAACUUCGGGAAACCGGAGCUAAUACCGGAUAACAUUUGGAACCGCAUGGUUCUAAAGUGAAAGAUGGUUUUGCUAUCACUUAUAGAUGGACCCGCGCCGUAUUAGCUAGUUGGUAAGGUAACGGCUUACCAAGGCGACGAUACGUAGCCGACCUGAGAGGGUGAUCGGCCACACUGGAACUGAGACACGGUCCAGACUCCUACGGGAGGCAGCAGUAGGGAAUCUUCCGCAAUGGGCGAAAGCCUGACGGAGCAACGCCGCGUGAGUGAUGAAGGGUUUCGGCUCGUAAAACUCUGUUAUUAGGGAAGAACAAACGUGUAAGUAACUGUGCACGUCUUGACGGUACCUAAUCAGAAAGCCACGGCUAACUACGUGCCAGCAGCCGCGGUAAUACGUAGGUGGCAAGCGUUAUCCGGAAUUAUUGGGCGUAAAGCGCGCGUAGGCGGUUUCUUAAGUCUGAUGUGAAAGCCCACGGCUCAACCGUGGAGGGUCAUUGGAAACUGGGAAACUUGAGUGCAGAAGAGGAAAGUGGAAUUCCAUGUGUAGCGGUGAAAUGCGCAUAAAUAUAGAGGAACACCAGUGUCGAAAGCGACUUUCUGUUCUUAGCUGUCGCUGCGGUGCGAAAAUAGGGGG
rnacentral:rRNA from 1 species